rnacentral:rRNA from 1 species
CCUACGGGUGGCUGCAGUAGGGAAUAUUGCUCAAUGGGGGAAACCCUGAAGCAGCAACGCCGCGUGGAGGAUGAAGGUUUUCGGAUUGUAAACUCCUUUUGUUAGAGAAGAUAAUGACGGUAUCUCACGAAUAAGCACCGGCUAACUCCGUGCCAGCAGCCGCGGUAAUACGGAGGGUGCAAGCGUUACUCGGAAUCACUGGGCGUAAAGAGUGCGUAGGCGGGAUUGCAAGUCAGAUGUGAAAUCCUAUAGCUUAACCAUAGAACUGCAUUUGAAACUGUUAUUCUAGAGUGUGGGAGAGGUAGGUGGAAUUCUUGGUGUAGGGGUAAAAUCCGUAGAGAUCAAGAGGAAUACUCAUUGCGAAGGCGACCUACUGGAACAUAACUGACGCUGAUGCGCGAAAGCGUGGGGAGCAAACAGGAUUAGAUACCCCAGUAGUC